rnacentral:rRNA from 1 species
UACAGAGGGUGCGAGCGUUAAUCGGAGUUACUGGGCGUAAAGGGCGCGUAGGCGGUAAGGUGAGUGUGAUGUGAAAGCCCUGGGCUUAACCUAGGAAGUGCAUCGCAAACGACCUAACUGGAGUAUAAGAGAGGGUGGUGGAAUUUCCGGUGUAGCGGUGAAAUGCGUAGAGAUCGGAAGGAACGUCAAUGGCGAAGGCAGCCACCUGGCUUAAUACUGACGCUGAGGCGCGAAAGCGUGGGGAUCGAACAGG